GACGAACGCUGGCGGCGUGCUUAACACAUGCAAGUCGAACGCUGAAGCUUGGUGCUUGCACUGGGUGGAUGAGUGGCGAACGGGUGAGUAAUACGUGAGUAACCUGCCCUUGACUCUGGGAUAAUCCUGGGAAACUGGGUCUAAUACUGGAUACGACAUUUCACCGCAUGGUGGUGUGUGGAAAGGGUUUUACUGGUUUUGGAUGGGCUCACGGCCUAUCAGCUUGUUGGUGGGGUAAUGGCUCACCAAGGCGACGACGGGUAGCCGGCCUGGGAGGGUGGCCGGCCAAACUGGGACUGAGACAAGGCCCAGACUCCUACGGGAGGCAGGAGUGGGGAAUAUUGCAACAUGGGGGGAAGCCUGAUGCAGCGACGCCGCGUGAGGGAUGACGGCCUUCGGGUUGUAAACCUCUUUCAGCACGGAAGAAGCGAAAGUGACGGUAAGUGCAGAAGAAGCGACGGCUAACUAAGUG
rnacentral:rRNA from 1 species